CACCCUGACUUUGGACUUCUAGCCUCCAGAGUCAGACGAUAACAUAUCUGUGUGACAGAAGCCAUCUAGAUUGUAGGGCUUUGUUACAGAAGCCCCAGAAA
rnacentral:miRNA from 14 species